rnacentral:rRNA from 1 species
UGGGGAAUUUUGGACAAUGGGCGCAAGCCUGAUCCAGCCAUGCCGCGUGCGGGAAGAAGGCCUUCGGGUUGUAAACCGCUUUUGUCAGGGAAGAAAUCUUCUGAGUUAAUACCUCGGGAGGAUGACGGUACCUGAAGAAUAAGCACCGGCUAACUACGUGCCAGCAGCCGCGGUAAUACGUAGGGUGCAAGCGUUAAUCGGAAUUACUGGGCGUAAAGCGUGCGCAGGCGGUUUUGUAAGACAGAGGUGAAAUCCCCGGGCUCAACCUGGGAACUGCCUUUGUGACUGCAAGGCUUGAGUGCGGCAGAGGGGGGAUGGAAUUCCGCGUGUAGCAGUGAAAUGCGUAGAUAUGCGGAGGAACACCGAUGGCGAAGGCAAUUCCCCCUGGGGCCUGCACUGACGCUCAUGCACGAAAGCGUGGGGAGCAAACAGGAUUAGAUACCCCUGGUAGUCCACGCCCUAAACGAUGUCAACUGGUUGUUGGGGAAGGUUCCUUCUCAGUAACGUAGCUAACGCGUGAAGUUGACCGCCUGGGGAGUACGGCCGCAAGGUUGAAACUUAAAUGAAUUGACGGGGUCAUAGCUGUUUCCUG